rnacentral:tRNA from 1 species
AAAUAAGAAGCAAUACAAUGCAUUUAAUUUCGACUUAAAAGAAAGAGUAUUUAAUUACUCCUUAUUUA